rnacentral:lncRNA from 1 species
UAUACACAUACACAUACAAACCUAGAGAAAAAGGGGGUCAAUUUCUGCGGCAGACUGGAGGAGAGAAAGAAAAGGGCAGCCAUUAUUAUUAUAUAUUCUUACACACACGUUCUGCAAAAAGGGGGAUUUGACACAGACGGAGAGAGAAAAGAAUUGGAGGGCCAAUUUGAUGCUCAAAUUUAUAGAUAUACAAGCAUAGAAAUUUAGGUAGCUUUGGUGAAAUUAAUUGGGUGCUGUCUGCCAAUAUCAUUGAAUUAUAUACAAACACGGCGGAGACUCGAGACAAGACGGAAACACCAAAAAAAAGGGCAACAAUUUUAUUAAUCACGUUCCGUAAAUAAAUCGGGUGAUGUCUUCCAUGAUAAUAUUUUGUUUUUCUCCUAUUAAUAUGCGUAGCUAAAUUUAUUUUUAGGGCGAACAAUGUAACUGAUUUGGAAC